GGGACCCUGCUGUGUGCGUAUGACCCCGAGAAGUUUUGAGCUAACACUAUGUUCAUGGGAGCCUAACUCUAUGUGUGGCAUAUAUGCCUUCUUUGAAAGGACAUAUAAAGCAUGUAGGAGGGCACCCACCUGUGGGGGGAGCAGUUCAAAACUAUCGGUUUCACGGCUCAGUGGGGUUUUU
rnacentral:other from 1 species